rnacentral:rRNA from 1 species
UACGUAGGGCGCAAGCGUUAUCCGGAAUUAUUGGGCGUAAAGAGCUCGUAGGCGGUUUGUCGCGUCUGCCGUGAAGGUCCGGGGCUCAACUCCGGAUCUGCGGUGGGUACGGGCAGACUAGAGUGAUGUAGGGGAGACUGGAAUUCCUGGCGUAGCGGUGAAAUGCGCAGGUAUCAGGAGGAACACCGAUGGCGAAGGCAGGUCUCUGGGCAUUAACUGACGCUGAGGAGCGAAAGCAUGGGGAGCGAACAGG